GACGAACGCUGGCGGCGUGCUUAACACAUGCAAGUCGAACGAUGAACCAGGGCUUGCCCUGGGGAUUAGUGGCGAACGGGUGAGUAACACGUGGGCAACCUGCCCCAGACACCGGGAUAACCUCUCGAAAGAGUGGCUAAUACCGGAUAUGACCACGUUGGGCGUCCAGCGGUGGUGGAAAGGAUUCUGGUCUGGCAUGGGCCCGCGGCCUAUCAGCUUGUUUGUGGGGUAAUGGCCUACCAAGGCGACGACGGGUAGCAGGCCUGAGAGGGCGACCGGCCACACUGGGACUGAGACACGGCCCAGACUCCUACGGGAGGCAGCAGUGGGGAAUAUUGAGCAAUGGGCGAAAGCCUGACGCAGCGACGCCGCGUGAGGGACGAAGGUCUUCGGAUUGUAAACCUCUUUCAGCAGGGACGAAGCGAAAGUGACUGUACCUGCAGAAGAAGCACCGGCUAACUACGUGCCAGCCGCCGCGGUAACAC
rnacentral:rRNA from 1 species